GUUCCCUAUAUAUCCAUGCCAUGUUGAUGCGGGAAGUUGUGUGUCGUUUUUUGUAAUCCAGUAUGCUUAGCGGCGGACGGGUGAGUAAUACGUAGUUAACCUGCCCUUAAGCCGGGAUAACUCUCGGAAACGUGGGUUAAUACCGGAUAGGCGAUUUCCUCGCAUGAGGGAAUCGGGAAAGGCGGAGCAAUCUGCCGCUUAUGGAUGGACCUACGGCGCAUUAGCUAGUUGGGUGAGGGUAAACGGCUCACCAAGGGCGACGAUGCGUAGCCGACCUGAGAGGGUGAUCGGCCCACACUGGGACUGAGACACGGCCCAGACUCCUACGGGAGGCAGCAGUAGGGAAUCUUUCCGCAAUGGACGCAAGUCUGACGGAGCAACGCCGCGUGAGUGAUGAAGGUUUUCGGAUCGUAAAGCUCUGUUGCCAGGGAAGAACGCUAUGGAGAGUAAACUGUUCGAUAGGUGACGGUACUUGAGAAGAAAACCCCGGGCUAAUUACGUGCCAGCAGCCGCGGUAAUAUGUAGGGGGCAAGCGUUGUCCGGAAUUUUUGGGCGUAAAAACGCGCGCAGCCGGUCAUUUAAGUAAGGUGUUUAAAAACGGGGAUCAAAUGCGGUUUGCAAAAAAAAAAGUGUGUCUAUAUGCAGAAGAGGAUAAUGGAAUUCCUCGUAAAAAAAUAAAAUGCGUAGACAAGUGGAUGAACACCAGUGGCGAAGGCGGGUUCCAGAUGAUAUAGAACGAGAGGCGCGAAAGCGACAGAACAAACAGGAUUAGAUUCCCUGGUAGUCCACACCGUAAACGAUGAAUGAUAGGUGUUAGGGGUUUGGAUCCCCUUGGUGCCGAAGUUAACACUAUAAGCAUCCGCCCAGGUUAAAACAAG
rnacentral:rRNA from 1 species